GGGCGGCAGAUUGAUUGGCUAGAAUAUCCUGAAUAUCCGUGUUGACCUCCAAGGGAGUUGUACCUUCGACGGAGGUACCAAUCUCCAAAGCCUGUUUCUGCGUCUCCGUCUUCUGCCUGUGACGUUUUUUAACUCUUUUGGCAGCUGGUCCCUCAGUGCUGAUUCCAGGACCAGGUACCUCAUUUUUCUGUGUAAUAACAUCGUCAACAAUAUUGUUUGUUUGAUUUUCAGACAAAGGGGCGGCAGAUUGAUUGGCUAGAAUAUCCUGAAUAUCCGUGUUGACCUCCAAGGGAGUUGUACCUUCAACGGAGGUACCAAUCUCCAAAGCCUGUUCCCGCAUCUUCCGCCUGUGACGUUUUUUAACUCUUUUGGCAGCUGGUCCCUCAGUGCUGAUUCCAGGAGCAGGUAUCUCAUUUUUCUGUGUAAUAACAUUGUCAACAAUAUUGUCUGUUUGAUUUUCAGACAAAGGGGCGGCAGAUUGAGUGGCUAGAAUAUCCUGAGUAUCCAUGUUGACCUCCAAGGGAGUUGUAUCUACCUCCAAGGGAGUUGUACCUUCAACCGAGGUACCAAUCUUCAAAGCCUGUUUCUGCGACUUCGUCUUCCGCCUGCGACGUUUGUCAACUCUUUUGGCAGCUGGUCCCUCAGUGCUGAUUCCAGGAUCAGGUACCUCAUUUUUCUGUGUAGUAACAUUGUCAACAAUAUUGUCUGCUUGAUUUUCAGACACAGGGGGGGCAGAUUGAUUCGGUAGAAUAUCCUGAAUAU
rnacentral:lncRNA from 1 species